AUGGGAGCUUGCUCCCUGAUGUUAGCGGCGGACGGGUGAGUAACACGUGGGUAACCUGCCUGUAAGACUGGGAUAACUCCGGGAAACCGGGGCUAAUACCGGAUGCUUGUUUGAACCGCAUGGUUCAAACAUAAAAGGUGGCUUCGGCUACCACUUACAGAUGGACCCGCGGCGCAUUAGCUAGUUGGUGAGGUAAUGGCUCACCAAGGCAACGAUGCGUAGCCGACCUGAGAGGGUGAUCGGCCACACUGGGACUGAGACACGGCCCAGACUCCUACGGGAGGCAGCAGUAGGGAAUCUUCCGCAAUGGACGAAAGUCUGACGGAGCAACGCCGCGUGAGUGAUGAAGGUUUUCGGAUCGUAAAGCUCUGUUGUUAGGGAAGAACAAGUACCGUUCGAAUAGGGCGGUACCUUGACGGUACCUAACCAGAAAGCCACGGCUAACUACGUGCCAGCAGCCGCGGUAAUACGUAGGUGGCAAGCGUUGUCCGGAAUUAUUGGGCGUAAAGGGCUCGCAGGCGGUUCCUUAAGUCUGAUGUGAAAGCCCCCGGCUCAACCGGGGAGGGUCAUUGGAAACUGGGGAACUUGAGUGCAGAAGAGGAGAGUGGAAUUCCACGUGUA
rnacentral:rRNA from 1 species